rnacentral:rRNA from 1 species
UGAAGAUCGGAGUGCUUGCACUCUGUGAAACAAGAUACAGGCUAGCGGCGGACGGGUGAGUAACACGUGGGUAACCUGCCCAAGAGAUCGGGAUAACACCUGGAAACAGAUGCUAAUACCGGAUAACAACAGAUGAUGCCUAUCAACUGUUUAAAAGAUGGUUCUGCUAUCACUCUUGGAUGGACCUGCGGUGCAUUAGCUAGUUGGUAGGGUAACGGCCUACCAAGGCGAUGAUGCAUAGCCGAGUUGAGAGACUGAUCGGCCACAUUGGGACUGAGACACGGCCCAAACUCCUACGGGAGGCAGCAGUAGGGAAUCUUCCACAAUGGACGCAAGUCUGAUGGAGCAACGCCGCGUGAGUGAAGAAGGGUUUCGGCUCGUAAAGCUCUGUUGUUGGUGAAGAAGGACAGGGGUAGUAACUGACCUUUGUUUGACGGUAAUCAAUUAGAAAGUCACGGCUAACUACGUGCCAGCAGCCGCGGUAAUACGUAGGUGGCAAGCGUUGUCCGGAUUUAUUGGGCGUAAAGCAGUGCAGGCGGCUCGAUAAGUCUGAUGUGAAAGCCUUCGGCUCAACCGGAGAAUUGCAUCAGAAACUGUCGAGCUUGAGUACAGAAGAGGAGAGUGGAACUCCAUGUGUAGCGGUGAAAUGCGUAGAUAUAUGGAAGAACACCGGUGGCGAAGGCGGCUCUCUGGUCUGUUACUGACGCUGAGGCUCGAAAGCAUGGGUAGCGAACAGGAUUAGAUACCCUGGUAGUCCAUGCCGUANACGAUGAGUGCUAAGUGUUGGGAGGUUUCCGCCUCUCAGUGCUGCGGCUAACGCAUUAAGCACU